rnacentral:lncRNA from 1 species
AAACAGGAUCAAGUAAUUUGCUAAGCUGAUUUUUCGUCUGUUGACUUUUCAGUGUUUGGUUCCGAGGAAUAUCAUCUGUGUGAUACCCUUUUCCAAAUUUUGAUCAGCUUGGAAUAUCAAUGGAUGCACCACGGCUAAUUCUGCUUCCUCUUCUUCUCAGUCUUCUCUUCCAUGGUAAAGCCUCUGCAUCAUCAAAUGAAAGCACUAUACAUGCUAACAGAUCAAUCAAUGAUGGCGAGCUUAUCAUCUCCAAAGCUGGCAACUUUGCUCUUGGGUUUUUCAGCCCUGGCACCUCAACCUACAGAAGAUACCUUGGUAUCUGGUGUCAUAACAAGCCAGGCCAAACUGUGGUGUGGGUAGCUAACAGGAACGCCCCCAUCAACGGCACUUCAGGCAUCCUCACCCAUGACGGAUCUGGAAACCUUUUGCUCUACAGCAGCAGCACCCGAAUUAACCAAGAGCUAAAUAUUCCCAUAUGGUCUACACACGUUUCCACAACUUUUCCCUCUUCAGCUCAGCUAUUGGAUUCAGGAAAUCUAGUAUUGGUCCAACAAGGUACAGAAAAUACAUCACUACAUGUUGUGUGGCAAAGCUUUGAUCAUCCCACCGAUACCUUGUUACCAGGUAUGAAACUGGGCAUGAAUCUAGAUACAGGUUUGAACAUGUUCCUGACAUCUUGGAGAUCAAGAGAUGAUCCAGGGACUGGAGAUUUCUCGUUUAAGCUCAACCCGAAUGGUGCGCCUCAGUUCUUUCUGUAUUAUCAGGGUACAAUUCCCCGUUGGCGGAGUCUCCCAUGGCCAUGGAAAGUAGAACAUCGCUAUUACACUGAUUCUUUUGUUAACAAUGAAGAUGGGAUAUGGUACUCGUUCGCUCCUCAUGUUGCUUUGAAUGUGCUGAGGCUUGUGAUCGACAAUUUGGGAACGGUGAAGGGAGUAAUGUGGUAAAGUUACAACCUCAGACAGAAAUAAGUUAUAAUAUAAUUACACAUUUGAAUAGUUUGUGCCAUAUUUGAAAUUUGUAAAAGUCUGUAUAUAAUCGUGUAGUUACACUAUAGUUCGUUCCUAUCUAAAUAUUUUUUUUAUAUAUUAUAUUGACUUGAAGUCCCGAUCUCUGCUUUUAAUCCUUCUUUGUUGUUGCCAGAUGGGGCAACCUCCGCAGCAGCAGCGCCAGCCAAUCCUCAUUGGAACUGUUUGUCCCAAAUGUGAUCGCAAGAUGUAGUCAAAUCAGUAGACAAUGAAUGAGGUUAGAACUUGAAUUCUGCCAAUAUAUGUACGUCUAUGUCAAACAGGAAAAUAAGAAGCAAACAGGAUCAAGUAAUUUGCUAAGCUGAUUUUUCGUCUGUUGACUUUUCAGUGUUUGGUUCCGAGGAAUAUCAUCUGUGUGAUACCCUUUUCCAAAUUUUGAUCAGCUUGGAAUAUCAAUGGAUGCACCACGGCUAAUUCUGCUUCCUCUUCUUCUCAGUCUUCUCUUCCAUGGUAAAGCCUCUGCAUCAUCAAAUGAAAGCACUAUACAUGCUAACAGAUCAAUCAAUGAUGGCGAGCUUAUCAUCUCCAAAGCUGGCAACUUUGCUCUUGGGUUUUUCAGCCCUGGCACCUCAACCUACAGAAGAUACCUUGGUAUCUGGUGUCAUAACAAGCCAGGCCAAACUGUGGUGUGGGUAGCUAACAGGAACGCCCCCAUCAACGGCACUUCAGGCAUCCUCACCCAUGACGGAUCUGGAAACCUUUUGCUCUACAGCAGCAGCACCCGAAUUAACCAAGAGCUAAAUAUUCCCAUAUGGUCUACACACGUUUCCACAACUUUUCCCUCUUCAGCUCAGCUAUUGGAUUCAGGAAAUCUAGUAUUGGUCCAACAAGGUACAGAAAAUA